rnacentral:rRNA from 1 species
AUGUCGACUUUGAAGGCGAGUGGUGGUGGUGUGACCAUCCAGUUCCCCAUGCUUGAAGGCGGCAAUUAUGGGGUGUGGGCUGCAAAGAUGAAGAUCUUCAUGCGUGCACGUGGAGUCUGGGCAGCGGUGGAAGGUGAUGGUGCGGUCGAGGAGAUAAAGGACCAAGAAGCUUUCGCCGCCAUAGCCCAAGCUGUGCCUGAUGCCGUUUUCAUGACUAUAUCGGAGAAAGAGACGGCAAAGGAAGCUUGGGAAGCUCUCAAGGAGAUGCAUGCUAGAGAUGAUCGUGUCAAGAAGGCUCGUGUUCAAGCUCUAAGGAGGGACUUCGAGAGGAUGAGCAUGAAAGAAUCAGAAGGGGUUGGUGAAUUUGCGUUGAAGCUAACCUCCCUGGUUAAUGAGAUGCGGGCUCUCGGAUCAAAGAUGGAGGACAUCGCAGUUGUGGAGAAGUUACUUCGAGCCGUUCUCGAUAAGUUUUUACCGAUCGUUGGUACCAUAGAGCAGUGGGGCGAUGUGUCGAAGAUGUCGGUGAUGGAGGUGAUCGGGAGGCUCAAGACCUAUGAGUUGAUGUUGAAGGGGCGUGAACGCGACCAAGAAGAAGAGCAGUUGAUGUUCUCGCAUAGUAGGGAGAAAGAUAAGCAGAAGUACCGGAAGUUCGACAAAUCUAAAGUCUGUUGCUACAAUUGUCAGGACCAUGGACACUAUUCACGAGAGUGUCCUAAUCUGCGGAAGGAGGCAAAGAAGGAGCACGGGACUCUACAACUAGCUGAAGUGGGCAUGGAUGAUGACCCGAGAUUGCUUUAA